rnacentral:rRNA from 1 species
AAAGUUGUUGCAGUUAAAAAGCUCGUAGUUGGAUUUGUGGGUGGAGCGAGCGUCCCGACGCUCAGCGUGGGUGAGGUYCGUCUCCGUCCAUCCUUGGGUGGAAUCCGCGUGGCAUUGAGUUGUCGUGCGGGGGAUGCCCAUCUUUUACUGUGAAAAAAUUAGAGUGUUCAAAGCAGGCUUACGCCGUUGAAUAUAUUAGCAUGGAAUAAUGAGAUAGGACCUGGGUACUAUUUUGUUGGUUUGCGCACCGAGGUAAUGAUUAAUAGGGACAGUUGGGGGUAUUCGUAUUCCAUUGUCAGAGGUGAAAUUCUUGGAUUUCUGGAAGACGAACGACUGCGAAAGCAUUUACCAAGGAUGUUUUCAUUAAUCAAGAACGAAAGUUAGGGGAUCGAAGAUGAUUAGAUACCAUCGUAGUC